rnacentral:piRNA from 1 species
UACAAUAGUGCUAAGGAACCCCAUUACA